ensembl:lncRNA
UAUAUAUAUAUAUAUAUAUAUGUAUAUAUAUUAAAAGGUACACAAGAUGAUGAUACAACUGCAGUGACAAACAAAAGUACAUGCACAGUCGAGGUCAUAAGUUUACAUACACCUACCUGAUUGCUGUAAAUUGUUCUGAAGCAAAAUAAUAAGAAUAUACACCGAUCGUCCCGCUCAAAAGUUUACACCCCCCUGGCUCUUAAUGUAUCGUGUCGCCUACUUGAGCAUCAGUGAACGUUUUGCACCUUUUGUAAUAGUCGUGUACGAGUCCCUCGGUCGCCCUCAGCGUGAAAAGAUGGAUCUCGACAUCAUAUUUGGAUGGAAAGGAGUUAAAUAUGCAUCAGAUGCCGGAAAAGCACAGAACAGUGUGCAGUUUAACUGCUCAGGACAGACAAGGGACUCAUGAACGACUCGUUGGUCAUCCAACGACACAGGGUAUUAAGAAUCGAGCGUGUGUAAACUUCUGAACGGGUUCGUUCGUGUAAAUUCAGUUCUUAUUGUGUCUUGUGGACUAUAUGUAAACAUCUGCUAUGUGAAAUAGUUUAUUCAGGACAGGACUAAAUAUAUAUUUUUUAAAAAACCCUAAAUGCAAUUUCAGUUUAUCAUCCCGCUUAUUUUUAUUAUUAUUAUUAUUAUUUUUAAAGUGAACAUUUUGCGGAUUCUGCAAGGGGUAUGUCAACUUCUGACCUCAACUGUAAACUCAGUGCUUAUUUUUUUCUGAGAGUAAUGUAUUAAUAAAUGUGUCUCCAUGCGCAGUAGUCAUAUAUUUUUACUCUUUUGUUGUGUUACGAUCAUCCCGAUUGAUCGGAGACCAUUUCUGUGCGAUUCUCCGACAAACCCAAAUCGGUCUGGUGUAAAUAACGCAGAACCAUGAGGUGUUCCUCAACACUUCAGCAAAGAAGUCCUAAUACUAUAUCACACUCAUAAUAUUCCCAUCGUAUACAGUACAUUUCAUCCAGUACUUGCCUUUAAAACAACAUUCUUCAUAGUGAGGAUUGAAGAUGAGCACUAUGACACUUAAGCCACUUAUCUCAGGUUCAGGUUGUUAUUAGGUGAAGAAGGUGUGUGAGAGAACUGUGCAGUGUAUGAAGUGUUCAUGAAGCCCUGCUUUAAGAACAUGAAGAUUUACUUGCCUGCGUGCAGACCACAGAUAUUCGUACAUGUAUAUAACUCGCCAUCAAAUGUUUCUGGAUAGAUGUAGUUUUAUGACUGCAUUCAGAGAUAGCUAGUGUUAGAGGUGUCGAUUUAGUGGUGGUGUUUUUUAAAUACAUUUAUAAAUAGGAUUGAAAAAUCCUGUCAGAAAUCUAACAAAAAGGUGUAUAUAUAUUCCUUUAAAAGGAUAUAUAUAUAUAUAUAUAUAUAUAUAUAUAUAUAUAUAUAUAUAUAUAUAUAUAUAUAUAUAUAGGCUCAAAGACUCACACUCCCGCAGCUGCUCUCAACUACAUAUAUAGAUUCGACAUUCCUAAAGCUCCGCCUUUUAUGGUCUGUCAUCGGCUAAACCUGCUCAGUGCUUGCAAACGUCUUUGAAAGGCAUUAUAUAAAUUAAUUAUUGUUGUUGUCGUUAUUAUUAUUAUUAUUAUUACUCCUAAGAAGAGUCUCAGGAUUUUUUUUUCAUGCAUCGUAUAAUCUUAUGUAUUAAAACAAUGUUAUGUCUUUAUUGAAAGUAACUCUAUUGUGUUUUGACUUCCUUUGUUCCCUGUUAAA